rnacentral:rRNA from 1 species
UACUUAGUGGCAGACGGGUGAGUAACAUGUAGGUAUCUGCCCUUUGGCCUGGAAUAACACGAGGAAACUUGUGCUAAUACCGGAUAAGUCUUUACGGAGAAAGCUUUAUGCACCAUUGGAUGAGCCUGCACUUGAUUAGUUUGUUGGUGGGGUAAUGGCCUACCAAGACUGUGAUCAAUAGCUGAUUUGAGAGGAUGAUCAGCCACAUUGGGACUGAGACACGGCCCAAACUCCUACGGGAGGCAGCAGUGGGGAAUCUUGCACAAUGGAGGAAACUCUGAUGCAGCGAUGCCGCGUGAGUGAAGAAGGCCCUUGGGUUGUAAAGCUCUUUCGUCGGGGAAGAAAAUGACUGUACCCGAAUAAGAAGGUCCGG